AAUAACAAAAUGACUAAAAUUGUGAUGGCUUAUAUUGGAUUCCUUCUCCUUGCCAUUCAGUUUUCAUCACACGUCCACGCUCAAAACGCUACCACACAGUCCACUGCCAUGACUGCUCCGAUCAAAGCUGGCGACGUGAGUUCUAACAUGACCAAGAUGCCCGAUGUCACUACCAAGAACAUCACCAUUCCCAAAGGAGCCAGUGCGUCCUUGCAGUCCAGCCCCGUCACGCUCCUCAUCCACAUUGCGGUGGUGGGUUCGCUCAUACAGGGCCGUUUCUAGAGUACUCAUGUGUACUGAACACACAGCCAGGAUUAACAUAGGCGGCCUAGCUGUGCAAACUGUUUCACAAACCAAUUU
rnacentral:lncRNA from 13 species